rnacentral:rRNA from 1 species
UACGUAGGGUGUAAGCGUUGUCCGGAAUUAUUGGGCGUAAAGAGCUCGUAGGCGGUCUGUCGCGUCGGCUGUGAAAACUCGGGGCUCAACUCCGAGCUUGCAGUCGAUACGGGCAGGCUAGAGUUCGGUAGGGGAGACUGGAAUUCCUGGUGUAGCGGUGAAAUGCGCAGAUAUCAGGAGGAACACCGGUGGCGAAGGCGGGUCUCUGGGCCGAUACUGACGCUGAGGAGCGAAAGCGUGGGGAGCGAACAGG